GGGAACUCUGGGAAACAUCUCUGGAAAGACCACACUUCCAUCCAGAAUGGAUCCAGUCUCAGAAUCUUCCUCAACACAGAGCUCCAGGCAACAAUUAUCAUUUGGUCAGAGAUAACUCAAUCUGGGGAAAGUCAGCUGCCAUUUAUGAACAGCCCUAUGGAGAGGCCCUCAAAGUCAAGGGACUGUAGUGUCUGACAGGAGCCAUGUGAGUGGGCUCAGAAGCAGACUCUCCAGUCGCAGUCAAGCCUACGAUGACUGCAGCCCCAACCAACAACUGAAUAACCACGUCAUGAUAGAUACUGAGCCAGAAUCACCCAGCUAAGCUGCUCUCAAAUUCCUGAUCACAGAAAGUGUGAGAUAAUAAAUGUUUGUUAUCUAAA
rnacentral:lncRNA from 10 species